CAGGGUCUCGCGACUCUCAAACCCAACCGUGCUCUAAACAUUUUUUCUGCUGCGGCGGGCCGCUCGCUGGGGGAGCUUCUGGCCUGUAUAGGUGGCCUGCCAAAGCAACCAAACAUUCUCUCUUUACAAAUAUUCAAAAACUUUCUUGAAAAGCAAUCA
rnacentral:misc_RNA from 1 species